UACGAAGGGGGCUAGCGUUGCUCGGAAUCACUGGGCGUAAAGGGUGCGUAGGCGGGUCUUUAAGUCAGGGGUGAAAUCCUGGAGCUCAACUCCAGAACUGCCUUUGAUACUGAGGAUCUUGAGUUCGGGAGAGGUGAGUGGAACUGCGAGUGUAGAGGUGAAAUUCGUAGAUAUUCGGCAAGAACACCAGUGGCGAAGGCGGACUCACUGGACCACAACUGACGCUGAGGCGCG
rnacentral:rRNA from 1 species